rnacentral:rRNA from 1 species
CAAAUAUGGAUGAAUGUAUGAUUGCAUGGUGCGGCGCUGGUAAUUGCUCAAUCAGACAGAGAAUUUAAGGCUCAUUAAAUCUUCUUCAGCAUGCUCUAUUUUGGGCAACGUAGCUGUUGAUGACAUAUAGCCUUGUGUCGGCAAUGGUUCAUUCUAAUUUCUCCCUAUCAACUUUCGACGUUUGAAUACUGGCCAAACAUGGUUGCAACGGGUAAAGGAGGGUCGGGGCUCGACCCGGGAGAAUGAGCUGGAUAACUGCUACUACAACCAAGAAAGUCAG